AUUGAACGCUGGCGGCAGGCCUAACACAUGCAAGUCGAACGAGUGGCGGACGGGUGAGUAAUGUCUGGGAAACUGACUGAUGGAGGGGGAUAACUACUGGAAACGGUAGCUAAUACCGCAUACCAUCGGAUGUGCCAAGAGGGGAUUAGCUAGUAGGUGGGGUAAAGGGUCACCUAGGCGACGAUCCCUAGCUGUUCUGAAAGGAUGACCAGCCACAGUGGAACUGGGACACGGUCCAGAUUAUUACGGGAGGCAGCAGUGGGGAUUAUUGCACAAUGGGCGCAAGCCUGAUGCAGCCAUGCCGCGUGGAUGAAGAAGGCCUUCGGGUUGUAAAGUACUUUCAGCGGGGAGGCGUUACCCGCAGAAGAAGGACCGGCUAACUCCGUGCAAGCAGCCGCGGUAAUAC
rnacentral:rRNA from 1 species